AAGGAAUCCAAUUCUAGGUUAGGCAUGGAAUGUAAUCCAUUAAAACAACCAACAUUGCUAUUCACUUACAAAUAUAUAAUUUAAUCAAUUGUCUAAUGCCAGUUUUACUUUUGAGCAGGUAACAAGAUAUCCAUAAAGAGGCAUGAAAGUUAAAUAAUAUGUACAAUGUGCAGCAAACAAAAUAUGAUGUCAUCAACAAAAGAUUGCCUCACAUGGAAAAAAUGCUAUUGCAGAUCUUAUAUAACAAAAUAUAGAUUAUUAAACUAUACAGGCAAAAUUGAUGAAAAUGUCAGCCAAAACAAUCAGAGGAACAAGUAAUAAUUGCUGCAUCGUGAAUUUUCAAGACUUUCACCUUCAAAUCAAAGGAUUGCCCCAUCAAAGACUCAGAACCUUAAAAUUUUUAUCAACCAUAUGAAACAAUCAGCAAUUUGCCUGAACAGAAUUAUAUUGUUUGUGAAUGGACAUGCUUAAAAAAAAAAUCUUCCUUUUUAUAUACAAUUUUAUAAGGAUGUAUAAAAUAUCAUUCACAAAUGAGAUAAUACAUUCUGAUAAUUCUAGAAUUUGCAUAGAGUCAUUGACUUAUCAUCAAUCUGUUGUCCUACUCAACUAACAAGUUGAGUAGCAGUGAGUGACGUUCCAUGAACUUAUGGCAUCCCAAACUAACACAAUUAAAAAGCACAAACAACAUAUAAUACAAUGAAGCUUGAGAUGACCAUGUUCAGGUUACUCCCUAUUCCACAGGCUGAAAAGUUUUUGGCCAAAAAAAAAAAAGAUAUGAUCCCUCUGCAUUACAAUGAGAUAAUUUUACAUGCCUAGAAUACGAUUCUAUUUCACUCUAACAACUCUAGGAAAGAUUUCUAUUUGGCCCAUCAUUGAAGUAGGAUUCUCCAAUUUACAUUAAGAACAGGUGGAUAAUGCCUUCUUGAUUUAGUUAAAUUUUAACUCACAGUUAGUUAAAAACCUGAAUAGCUUUGACAUCUAACCAAGCACAUUACCUACAUUGUGUUGCAACUAAUCCCAAUUGACCACAAACUAAGCAUUCCACUGAAGAAAAGCUAAUAAUAAACAAUAAUUAGCCAACUCCUCGUGUAUAAAGAUAAAUU
rnacentral:misc_RNA from 1 species